AAGGUUUUAAGUUAAUUAAACUGCUAAUUUUCAAAAUUAUUUAUAAAGAGCUAUUCUUUAAGCCUUA
rnacentral:tRNA from 1 species